rnacentral:rRNA from 1 species
UACAGGAGGGGGCAAGCGUUGUUCGGAAUUACUGGGCGUAAAGGGCGCGUAGGCGGCCUUCUAAGUCGAACGUGAAAUCCCCGGGCUCAACCCGGGAACUGCGUCCGAUACUGGAAGGCUUGAAUCCGGGAGAGGGAUGCGGAAUUCCAGGUGUAGCGGUGAAAUGCGUAGAUAUCUGGAGGAACACCGGUGGCGAAGGCGGCAUCCUGGACCGGCAUUGACGCUGAGGCGCGAAAGCCAGGGGAGCAAAGCGGGA